rnacentral:rRNA from 1 species
CGGGAGGCAGCAGUUAGGAAUCUUCCACAAUGGGCGAAAGCCUGAUGGAGCAACGCCGCGUGCAGGAGGAAAGCCUUCGGGUUGUAAACUGCUUUUAUGAGUGAAGAAUAUGACGGUAACUCAUGAAUAAGGGUCUGCUAACUACGUGCCAGCAGCCGCGGUCAUACGUGGGACCCAAGCGUUAUCCGGAUUGACUGGGCGUAAAGCGUUGCGUAGGCGGUUUGUUAAGCGAAUAGUGAAACCUGGUGGCUCAACCAUUCAGACUAUUAUUCGAACUGGCAAACUAGAGAUCAGUAGGGGUACCUGGAAUUUCUAAUGUAGGGGUAAUAUCCGUAGAUAUUAGAAGGAACACCGAUAGCGUAGGCAGGGUACUGGACUGAUUCUGACGCUCAGGCACGAAAGCGUGGGGAGCGAACCGGAUUAGAUACCCGGGUAGUCCACGCCCUAAAC